UUCUGAUUUGCUUUAGCCAUUGUUUGUUCAUUCUAAAUUAAGAAGUGGUUAUAAAUUUGCUAAGGUUGUAGUUUGGUUAUUAUUCUAUUUGUGGUUCGUUCUGGGGAAAGUGGGCAUAAUGCACUUGCUUGGAGUGCAGUCCUAGUAAAUUGUGCAACCCGAAUGGUCUAACCAGGGACUGCACUUUCCGCUUGUGUGUUAGUUUUGUCACCAUUUUCAUCCAGCCACGCGCAGAUGCCCCCCCCCCCCCCCUCUAAUGUACACACAGACAGAAAAAAGGUUUCCACAAUGUAGUGGUGUGGACAAGUGUCCGGUCGUCGUUGUUGCUCCUUCCUGACAACGCCAUGACUUCGAGGAGGUGGUGACAAGACUGGUUCAUGUCGGCUUUGGUUGGACCCUCUGCGCGGUGUUUUGUUUGUUUAGUGACUUUGUACCACAACAAUAUCACAAGAGUUAUCACCUUAACAAGAUUAUUCAAGGUGAUAAUUUUAACUCUGCCGCUGGAUCUGAAAUCUGCAGUAUGAUGUCCUACUGUACAACAUUAACAGUUAUAAGUAUUAUAUUGAACAGCAUACGCCAUUUUUGCAACGGGAACGUGCGUCCUUGUGUAGAAAUUUAACAGUUAUUAUCCCCCGCCAUCGGCGGAGGGAUAUUGUUUUGGCUUUGUCCGUCCGUCUUUCCGUCCGUCCGUCCGGAGCCAUAUCUUGGAAGUGCUUCGGCGGAUUUCAUUGAAACUUGGUAUGAGUAUAUAUAUGGAUAAGAGGAUGAUGCACGCCAAAUGGCGUUGUAUACCAUCUUGUAAUAACGGAGUUAUGGCCCUUUGUAUCUUUAAAAAAUGUUUUUUUGGGUGUCAAAUAUAACACUAUUGUGUCCAGAAGCAUAUUGGCGGGGGAUAUCAAUUCAACGAAUUUGCCUGUUGUUAUUAUGUUGAAUAUUAUUACCCCUUCUUGUGACGGAAAGAUUAUUGUUAUUUAGCCCUGAUAUUGCUGUUCCUCUGCGAUAGUACGUAUACAUUCUUGAUAGAUUGAGAUUUGAAAAGGUUUUGUUUAUGGAUGUUUACAUUUCACAUAUCAAACUGUCAUUUAUAAGUACUUUUAAACGUAUUUAGUUUAGCUCGAUUGCAUUGA